CCCGGUUCUGCACCGCAGCUUUGAAGGGGAAGGAAAGCCUUUAUUUUUUGCAUUUAUUUUAUUUUUCUUUUGGUAGGUUUACUUUGUAGCAACCCCCCCCCCAAAAAAAAAAAAAAAAGAAAAAAGAAAAACCACUGCUGGUGUUUUAAGCACGCUAUUUGUGUGUCAGUUUGCUCCAACCCGAUGGUAAAGUCCCUUUUGCCCUAAUCCAUAGUCUGAUCACACACUCGGCCCUUAAUGGGGGUUUCAAAACAAUUUGAAAGCAGAGGAGGUGGCUGGUGUGUGUGCGGUGGGGAUGGGGGUGGGGGGGCGCUGCACAGGCUCCCGGCACAGACCAGAGACUCAUGGACAGAGCGCUUUUCCCCCUUAGGCUCGCCCUCUCCCAGCCAGCGAGACCUGGGGUUUUUCCACAGCACGCAAGAAGCCCCUUUCGCCUUUUAAACUUCCCCAUCUUGCAGGAGGUGAGAGCCGGCCCCCCUGCUCUCCGGUUGCCAAUCCCGGGCAGCAGGAGCUAGCAAGAAGGGCACUUGAGCUCUGCGAGAGUGGACUUUGGCUUUUGGAAGUGGGGGAGCGUGUUAUCACACACAGGCACACACAAAAAGGCAAAUGCUGCUCCUUCCCCGCUCUUGGUGGAUGGAAAGGGGAGAAGCAGUGCUAGAGCAGAGGAGGGAGAGUCCUGCUUUCCCGUAAGAGCUUUCCGGCAAAUACGUGUUUGCAAAUAAACGUGACAGAGGUUUGCAUCUCGUCCUGUUAGCGGAUCUUUCAAAGGGCUGGAGAAGGAAGAUUGCCUAGGCUCGGGCUGGUGAUCAGCUGCAAAUCCCUUGUGUGUCCCUUCGGGCUGGGGGCAAGGGGGCGGGCUGGAGUGUGCACACUUUGCAGCAAAUGGAGAAGGAAAAAAAAAAAUCAGAGCAGCUCUUCCUGCGGCUGGCUUUGAAUGGGUGCUUGUGGCAAGGCAAGAGGGGGGCGAUCUGCCUUUUACCCAGCUGUCCUGGAGGUGUUGUCUCGACUGCUCUGCAGGUCGCUUUGCAUUACCGGGCUGGGAAGGCUCCUUUAGCAUCCCGGGGGAGAGGGGGGGGUUAAAAGGAAACGUGGGUUUGACUUUCCUGAUAAGGCAGGCAGCAGCCCCCUCCCACCUCCCAGCCCAGGGGAUGUCUCCCGGUUAUCUGCGGGCUGUCCGCACUCGCGCGGCCGCUUGCGCCGCCGGCAGCCGCGGCGCGGGGCGGCCGCGUCCCACCUGCUGCGCCCGGGCUGCAGCCGCGGUGCGGAGCGGGCGGGAGCGAAGCGCGGCGGCUCUUCCGCAGCUCCUGCCGCGGUGGCCGAGGGGUCCUCGGGUCUCCCUAGGAACUGCAGGAUUUCAGAUGUGUGCUAAGCCUGUUGGAGU
rnacentral:lncRNA from 1 species